ensembl:misc_RNA Metazoa_SRP Metazoan signal recognition particle RNA
GCCGGGUGCAGUGGCACGUGCCUGUAGUCCUAGCUACUCAGGAGGCUGAGGCUGGAGGAUCACUGGAAUCCAGGAGUUCUGGGCUGUAGUGCACUAUGCUGAUUGGGUGUCCGCACUAAGUUCGACAUCAAUAUGGUGACCUCCCGGGAGUGGGGGACCACCAGGUUGCCUAAGGAGGGGUGAAGCGGCCCAGGUCGGAAACGGAGGAGAUCAAAACUCCCGUGUUCAUCAGUAGUGGGAUCUUGUCUGUGAAUAACCACUGCGCUCCAGCCUGGGCAACAUAGCGAGUCCCCAUCUCU